rnacentral:lncRNA from 1 species
GUCAACUGACAAGCGCUGGGGACAGUGGCGUCCUUGUCUUGCCUUUGUCGCUCCCGCCCCGCUCUUCCCUGGCUGGGCUGGCGGAGGCCUUGCUGAUGAACCUGACUGAGAAUGGAGUUGGGGAAGUCAGCAUAAAGAGCAGAUUUCCGGGAGAAGAUCACAGGUUGGAUUUUGGACAUGGUGAUUCUCAAAUGUCUCAAGAUGGAUAUGUCACACAGACAGGUGGACAUAAAGGUGGGCUCUGUGUUGAGAGAACAGGGGGCUGAGACUUGGGGGCCAGACCAUUGGUGGCUCCACAGACAUCAUACUCUGUCCAGAACGGUGCAGACCUGGCAUAACAGGGAUUCUGGAUUGCAUCUGUAAAAAGGGAGGCCUGGACUGGGGUCCCCUGGCGAUGGCAGAAAUGGACCCUACACAGGGCCGUGUGGUCUUUGAGGACGUGGCCAUAUAUUUCUCCCAGGAGGAGUGGGGGCACCUUGAUGAGGCUCAGAGAUUGCUGUACCGUGAUGUGAUGCUGGAGAAUUUGGCCCUUUUG